rnacentral:rRNA from 1 species
CCCUUAGAUGUCCUGGGCUGCACGCGCGCUACACUGAUGUGUCCAGUAAGCACCUAACCUCUUCCGAAAGGAACGGGUAACCUUUGCAAAGCACAUCGUGAUGGGGAUAGAUUAUUGCAAUUAUUAGUCUUGAACGAGGAAUUCCUAGUAAGCACAAGUCAUCAGCUUGUGUUGAUUACGUCCCUGCCCUUUGUACACACCGCCCGUCGCUCCUACCGAUUGAAUGUUCCGGUGAGCUCUUCAGACUGCGCGGUCUGCAGUUUCUGCGUUCCGUGCGGAAAGUUGCGCAAACCUUAACAUUUAGAGGAAGGAGAAGUCGUAACA